UUUUUUUUUUUUUUUUUUUUUUAAGUGUGUAUAAUGCAAAUUUAUGUAAAAUUUCCAGAAAAUAAAAUAAAAUAAAAACAACUUUAUUUAAUUAAUGCUUAUUUAUAUUAUAUUUAUUAUAUUAUAUUUAUAUAUAUAUAUAUUUUUUUAAUUUUAUUUAUUUAUUUAUUUUCUUUAAUCAUGAUGCCAGCUGCACCUCUCUUUUUUCACGUGGUGCCAUCACCACUUUGUUCCAUCAUUCCCUUUUUUAUAUGGUGCCAGACGCCGCACCAUGCAUUUUUUUUUUUUUAAUCAUGGUGCAGUGUUCCACCAUAUAUAUUUUUUUAUUAUUAUUUUUUUUGUAUAAAUUUGGAUGACGGGAUGGGGAAUUUGCAGGGAGCGGAGCAAGGAGGCCGAGAAGAUGGUGCUUCGAGACCGGCUAGUCGUUUGACGGCGGUCUUUGAAGUUGUUUUGGCAGCUGCGAGGCAAGAGACGGAGGAGGAGAGGCUGUACGUGUUGCUGAAGCUGAUGGGCAGAAGGAGAAGGUGAGCACAACCACCGAUCACAGCCAACAGACUCCACGCCGCCGUCGUCCUCGUCCUUGUCUUUCCUCUCUGCCCAAAGAGAGCGUCAUCGACCUCCAAUCAUCGCAACAACCAUUCUCGAGCUCUUCGACUCCAGCUGGCAUCUCCACCUUCACCGCCGCAUCGGCGCCAGUGACAGCGGCAUCACCUUUCCCGUCCAUCUCAGACCUUCACCGUACUCACAUACCAGAAGUGCAUUUGCUCAAUGAGAUCGUAUGUACUCGAAGUCUUGUCCCCGCGACACAACUGCAGCUCAGCUCACACUCUUCAACUGCAGCAGCAAUCGGCACUAGAUGAGGCGGCUCGAAGAUGCUACUCCAACGAAUCCAAGCUAUGCAUCGAGGAAUUUGUCGAGAUGAUGCAGCAGCAGGUUAACAGUGGUGAUGUUGCAUGUUCUUGCCACUUUCCACAACCGUGAGUCCGCGAAAGACAUCGAGGGAACCGAGGCGUUGCUGCUUUGCCGUGACUUCGAGGCGUCGAUGGCGAGUUGAGGAAGAAGACUGUUUGCUGCUGCUUGUGGCUGAGAGAGAGACAUGCGUUGGUGACUUGGGUGAGGACUAAAGUCAUUCCUUGGAACCAAAUGGUUCGGCUGAAACUGUGAAGAACCACCUGGUGCGGUAGUUCCUGCAUUUAAAGAUGAAUCAUACAGUGGUCGUGGAGGUGGCGGGGGUUUAGCGCGGUGUCUCCGUUUUUCCAGUACGGCGUGCAUAUUCACAUAACUGAUAUUUGGGGUUUCAUCAGCAGUGUUAAUCGGUUUUCAGUACUGCCAUCCAUCUCAAUUGUUGCUCCAUUCCAAGUAAAAACAGCAAAUUUGAGCCUGGGAGGGAAGAGAAUGUGAGACCGGCAGCGGUCAUGAAUCCGAGAGCCUUAUCAACCCUGGAAGCUAGCUCCCGAUAUCUAUCACCUUGCUCGCUGUGCUCCGUGAAAUCCAAGUUCCACUGUGUGACCCUCUGCAUAACUGCAUAACCUCCAGUAGUGAAAGCCCUGAGAAGGUUGAGAGUAGCAGCAGAUUGACAAUAGGCUCUAAUCAGUCUCUGGGGGUCCGGAGUCCUCGACUGUAAAUCGAAGGCGUCUCCGUUCACAUUAUCCCCUCUGUAACUAGGCAGCUUCACACCAUUCUUCUCCUCAAAAGAAUCCGAUUUGGGUUUCACAAACUGACCCGCCAUUCUUCCCACCUUGACGACGGGCAUUUGGCCUCCGAUCAUCAAAACGAUGCCCAUUUGGAGGAGAAUUCUGAAGGUGUCACGAAUGUUGUUGGCAUUGAACUCCUUGAAGCUCUCAGCGCAGUCCCCACCUUGAAGAAGAAACGCGUUUCCCAUGGCGGCCUCUCCGAUACGCUCCUCCAGGUUCCUCGCUUCACCGGCGAACACAAUAGGUGGGAACGAAUCGAGGGUCUGAAGCACCGACUGGAGAUUUUCCUGAUUUGGGUACUCCGGCAAUUGCAGCGCCUUCUUAGAUUUUCAUGUCUCCAAGCUCCAUUUCGCCGGAACUGCAUUGUGAUUCGUCGCCAAAGAAGAAGAAGAAGAAGCCGUCUGAACAGCCUGCUGCUUCGGCGGCUUAUCGGAGACAACUGGGUUCUUGGCUGGCUCGGCGGCGUGGACUGCGACGAUUGGGCGGACGAACUUGAUGGGCAGAGCGGGUUGGUGAGUUCUGGAAGAGGGUAAGAGAGACUGAUCUUGAACGAAGCCGGAUUUGGUGGGAAUCAGAGCGCUGCUCUUGUCUGGUUCGACUCGGACAGGGAUGGUGCAAGCACAAUUUUUGAAGAAAGCGGAGAGCAUUUCGAUUGGGGAAGAAGGUUUGCUUGGUUUUUCACUUCCACCACCACCAGCUAGCUCUCCGAGGGGGUUCGAAGGUUCCAGAGAGAACUAGGCCUGGGCUGAGGUUGAAGGCUAAAACCUUUUGCAAGCUUUUGAGAUGAGACUUCGAGAAUUGGGCCGGAGCCUGGAUUUUGGGCUUUGAUAACCGUGUCUGGGCCUAGGCCUGGAGCUUGGUGUUGGACCGAGACAUACAUAGAUAUAUAUAUGUUUCCUCUUUUUUUUUUUUUAAAUAACAUAUGUAUAUAUUUUUUUGUAAAAUACAUAAACAUAUGUAUUCCUUUUUUUUUUCUCUUUUUUUUUCUGAAGAAACUGUACAAAGAAAAUUGCAAUAUAUAUAUAUAUAUAUAUAUAUAUAUAUUUUAAACAAAAUAAAUUUGUAAUAAAAAAGAACUUUAAUUAAACCUUUUUUUUUUAUGUGACGUGACUGAACUCGAAAAUUGAACAUUCGAGCUGCCUACGUACCCCUCCAAAGAAGAGAUCAAGUCAUAACGUAGUUCAAAUACAUACAUAUUUUUGGUAUUUUCUUUUUGUGCCGUUUGCAGUUUUAACUCAUGCAGGCAAGGAGCGUUGGUGUCGUUUGCAGUUUCAACUCGUGCAAGCAAAGAGCAUUUGGUGCCGUGUUGCAGUUUCAGCUCGUGCAGGCAAGGAGCGUUGGUGUUGCCUUUUAUGCUCGUGCAGACCAGGAGCGUUGUGCCAUGCAAUUUAGGCUCGUGUACGCGAGGAGCCUUGGGUCUUGCAGUUUAGGCUCUUACAGACAAUGAGCUUUUGUGUUGCCUUUUAUGCUCGUGCAGACCAGGAGCUUAGUGCCAUGCAGUUUAGGCUCGUGCAGGCGAGAAGCGUUGUGGCAUGCAAUUUAGGCUCGUGUAGGCGAGGAGCCUUGGGUCUUGCAGUUUAGGCUCUUACAGACAAUGAGCUUUUGUGUUGCCUUUUAUGCUCGUGCAGACCAGGAGCUUAGUGCCAUGCAGUUUAGGCUCGUGCAGGCGAGGAGCUUUGUGCCAUGCAGUUUAGACUCAUGCGGGCAAGGAGAAUUUGUGAAUUUUGUCAAGCAAUCCGGGAGAGGCGUUCCUCACAAUCUUUAUAGCAAGGAGCUUUGACCGCGUGAUUGAAUAAGUCUUCGGGAAAGAAAUCGCGCAUUGUGAUGGCAACAGACGAUCUUUGUGUCGUAAUUUCAUCAUCCUCAACACUUUCACGUUGCUUUGAAGGUUGACAAGAGCUGCUUUGCCCCCUUUCCGAUUGGCGGACUUGUGGAGGAGACGUAUGCUUCUUGUGCAAUUUCUUAGGAGUGACUUGAGUCCAUCCUUCAACUUUGCUUGUCUUGGAGGAUGCCCCCAGCGGUUGAGGUGAAAACUUUGAGUCGGAAGAGCCAGAAGUGAAGGUGGUAUAGUUUGACUUCACCACAUCAUCAAGAUCUAGCUCGAUGAUUCCUUUCUGAGCCAGCUUCAUGAUGAGAUCUUUCAGCACGAAACAUUUUUCUGUCGGAUGACUGAUGAAGCGGUGGAAUUUACAGUACCUUGGACUGUCAGUGCGAUUCAUCUCUUCUGGCCGUUUGCACUCAGGCAAACCAAUCACCUUCUUUUCCAGCAAGUCUUCUAACAUGGCAACCACAUCAGAGUCGGGAAAUGGAUAAGUCCUCUCCUCAAGCUCCUUCAAAGUGCGUCUACGCAUCUCUUGAUCACGAAAAGCUUCGGUUUGAAUCGCCUUGCCUCGUGUAGGGAUUUUGACGGGAGCUGUGUUGAUCGUCAUUGCUUCCUUGGUGGGUUUCCACGUAGUCUUCUCCAACUUUGGCCCAAUAACUUUGUCGUUCUUGUAGUCGGCGAUCGGUUCUUUCUUCCCAUGAUGGGCGAUGCUCAACUCCAUGUCAUGGGCGCGAGUGGCCAAUUCCUCGAAGGUCCGUGGUUUAAUGCCUUGAAGGAUGUAUUGCAAACCCCAUUGCAUACCUUGGAUGCACAUCUCGAUUGAAGAGGUCUCCGAGAGCCUGUCUUUACAGUCGAGGCUUAGAGUGCGCCAUCUGUUGAUGUAGUCAAUGACUGGCUCGUCCUUCCACUGCUUUGUGCUCGUUAGCUCUAGCAUGCUCACAGUGCGGCGGGUGCUAUAGAAGCGGUUGAGGAAUUCCCGCUCUAAUUGUUCCCAGCUAUUGAUGGACUCAGGCUCUAGGUCCGUGUACCACUCAAAGGCAUUUCCUUUCAGCGAGCGCACAAACUGCUUGGCGAGGUAGUCUCCCUCCGUCCCUGCGUUGUUGCAAGUUUCGACGAAAUGUGCAACGUGCUGCUUUGGGUUUCCUUUUCCAUCAAACUGCAUGAACUUUGGUGGUUGAUAACCCUUUGGCAUCCUUAGGGCAUCAAUCUUCUUGGAAUAGGGCUUCGAGUAGAACAAGGAGGUAUGUGAGCUCCCUUCGUACUGUGCCUUGAUGGUGUUGGUGAUCAUCUCCUGCAGCUGCUGGAUAGAAAGAGAUCCCAUGAGUGCCGCUGCUUGGUCUGGCUCCGGCUUCCCAUCGAUUUUCUUCACCGGGGGUUCUUCGUCUCCGCCAGCUCCUCCCUUUAGUGGAUCAUCCUCUGGGUCGGGUUUAUCGCCGUCCUGCGCCUCCAGUCGGUUGACUAGUGCUGCAAUUUGCAAGUCUUUUUCUUCCACAGUUCGGGUUAGCCUUGCAAUUGCUUCAUUCAUUUGAGUCAGCUGCUCAUCGAUUGAAGUUGCUCCAAUGGUCAUGACUUGCAUGGCUGAACUGUCGCUUGAAUCGGCAUCAGAGAACAUGGAUUCGGAGUAUUUCCUUGGGCUUUCCCCCCCUUGGUGCCCUUAGUGAGGCUAAGGUGAUCAAAGGCUCGUGCCUUGGGUGCUUUUGUUCCCUUGGCAGAGUUGAUGCAGAGGUGAAAGAGGCAGCAGAAGUAGCUCUUGCCAUGCUUCGAGUCGUGAUGCCCAAAGUGACACCAGUUGCGAUGAGGACGCUCUUGUUCUUUGUGCCAGUUGCGGGAACAGUUUGAGCCUUCCUUGAAGCCAUUAAUUUUGGAAGUGUGCUCGAAUUUCUUGAACGGAGAAAGAGAUGAGAGGUAGAGAUUGUCCCACUGGGCGUGCCAAUUUGUGAACACGGAAAAUUCCUGAAACGAAAGAGACAAGAACAAACGUGCACAAACAAAUAUUUGUAUUUGAUGAUUUUGGGUUACAAUCUCUCUCUAUUUUGAUCCUCUGAUUCGAUCUCCGUAAGGUGUGUAUUUGUGGAUGUGCGAUUGAUCCAAGGGCCGUCGGGGCUUGAUCUUGGAUGAACUGUUUGGAAGUUUCUUCAAAGGGCCGUGGGCUUGAUCUUUGAAGGUGGAUUUGAGCGGAUCUUCAAGGAGCCGUUGGGGCUUGAUUUUGAGGAUGAAUGUUUCUUCAAGGGCCGUUUGAGGCUUGAUCUUGAAUAACGGUGAUGAGCGGAUCUUCAAGGGCUUUUGGGCUUGAUCUUGAAGAAACAGUGAUGAACAGAUCUUCAAGGGCUUUUGGGCUUAAUCUUGAAGAACGGUUGGAUGUGUGUGGAUUUGUCGACGUUGUUGAUCCAAAGGGCCGUUGGGGCUUGAUCUUGGAUGAACGGAUGAUGAACGAUGGUGCUUUCUUCUUCAAGGGCCGUCGGGGCUUGAUCUUGAAUUGGUGGAUGAUUGUUGAUCCAAAGGGCCGUUGGGGCUUGAUCUUGGAUGAACGAUGAACGAAGAACGAAGAGAGCUUUCUUGAUUCUUCGGGAACCUGGAUGCUUGAGAGCUUCGGAGUUUCAGAGCUUCAAAGCUUCAAGGUGUAAUAUGAAUUGGUUCCCCAAAAUGAAUGAAAUGGGCUUGUAUUUAUAGAAUUUUCCAAUGCCUAAUUUUGAAUAUAAUAUCCCAGAUGAAAUAAGUCGUUUCUGCCAGGUGUUGACACGUGUCCUAUUUGAUGACUUUUCCAACCCAUUUCAAUUUUCGUUGAGUCACACGCUACGUGUAAACUUUAUGUAAUACAUGAGCGUUGACACUUUGAUUUAUCGGUCAACAUUUAUUUUCCGAAAUUUCGAUGUCUACAGGUAUAACCAUUUACUCGCGAAAUUUAAAUGGGCGGUUAUGGGUAUUAACCGCGGUUAUAAAUGGGUAACCAUUUACCUAUUUAUUUUAUAUAUGUAAAACUAACACAAACCAUGUUCUCGAUCCAAUAAUACUUAGCACCCAAUAAAUUAGCAAGGAAUUCAUCGGUCAUUCUCUUAAUAACACUGCUACAGGAAUGAUGAUUCUCAUCAUAAAGGAAUUGACCAAAUUAAUUUAAAUUCCUUGCAUGUAAUCAUGAAAUUGACAGAAAUGCUUUGACAUAAAUGUCUUCUAAACAAUUUUUGUAACCCAAUAAUACUUAGCAAAUAUUAUAUUUACCUUCAUUGGUAACAGUUAAAAAUAUCAUCCGUAAACUGUUAUUUCAAUUAUUGAAAUGGUAUAAGGACUUAAAAAAAUUAAAAUAUGGAAAUGUAUGAUGAAUGUACCUAUAACGGUGUUUCAUUGUAAAAAAAAAGAAAAUUAUGACAAAUUUUUUUAAUUUUAAAGUUGUUAAAAAACAUGUAGACCGGUGAAAAAGGGGUAAUGGUAAAAAAAAUAAACGGGUUAAAAAGGAUAAAUGGGUAAACGGGUAUUAAACGGUUACGGUUAAAUGGGUAUGCGGUUAUGGGUAUAGGUAUAACCGUUUAGGCAAUUACCCAACGGGUAAACGGUUAUGCGGGUAUGAGCAUAAACGGUUAUGGGUAAAUAAUCGCGGUUACCCGUCCACCAUAACCGUUGCCCAUUCCUAGUAGAGGGGUGGGGACAAUGUGUGAGCGAGAGAUGAUGGGACGGGUGAAAGAGAGAUAGUUGACUAGCGCGUGGUAUACGCGCGUCAUCUAUCAGGGAUUCACUUGUAAUAUGCGAGCUUUAGUUGUCAAGAGAAUAUUUAGGACUGGUUUGGUAUUGUUAUGCUUUGAAGAAAAAAAUUCCUGCUAUAUUGUGAGAAUAAGCAGUUGUGAUAUAAAGCAAUAUAGUAUUUGGUAAUUUUUUUUGUAAAAGUGUUUUUGGAAAAAAAAAUAAUAAUAAUAUUAUAGUGUUUGGUAUAAUUUUAAGCAAAACAGCUGUGACUGUAUGAAAUGACAAAUAAGAGUAUAAUACUAGAUGUGCCAUAAAUUUAAUUUUCUUAACAAAUAAAUGUGAAUUACUAAAUAUACUUUCUUUGUAAAAGAAAAAUAUUUAUAAACUUUAUCUUAAAUAUUAGUUAGUAUGACAAACUACUUCCAUUGAAAUAUUUUAGACUAAAUAGCUAGGAUUCAUUAGUACAAUAUUGUUAAUGUACUUAAAAGUAGUCUAAUUAGAUGCAUUCAUUAAACUUGCUAUUAUUCUAUUUCUUAAUGUUUCUAUCUCAUGUGAUUUUUCAACUUGAUAAUUUUGGUAUUCUUCGUCAUCAUCACUAUUAUCGCUCUCUUCACAAAAGUUUAUGAGAUCAUCAAAAUGACAAUCACGUUCAAAAUACCUUCGUAUGUAGCGUAUACUUCAUCUUCAUUUACCAAAAAAAAAAAUGGCAUCUUUCAUUUAACCAGAAUGUUAAGUCUUCGUUCCCUCUAUCCGCAGUAUAGAAUUGGCGAAUUCCCUAACUAAAAAUUGGGUUUUGGGUGAGGUUGCAUUCGCACCAGGGUAUCGGUGGGAUGGAGAGGUCAUGCCACUCCAACCCCAAUUCCUCCAUCAUUACAUGUCUCUCCCAAGAAACCAUCCAUCCCUGUCUCUACCCAUCCACUAUCUCUCUCCUCUCUGCAACACACUGAACCGAAUUCAAGUUUUUACCAACCCUUUAUCAUUUCCCUACUUCUGUGUAAUACAAAAAAAGAAACCUAAUUCAAAUUCUUCAUUUCUGUAGCUCUUUCUCGGCACAUUCGUUAAAAUUUAGAUAAGUUCAGUUGUGGGUAUUUAAAAUAUAUCAAUUUUUAGCUUGAAUUUAUCGAAUUGGAUUCUGGGUAGGUCGGGUCAAGAGGGUAGGUCGGGGUUCAAAAAGGGGUUAGAAUCAAAUUAUAUAGGAGUUUUGAUGUGGUAGGAGGUGGAGGCUUGAGCCGGGAAUGAAGUUUCAUGUUAGGGAUUGGGUUUGGGGCGACGAGUUGGGAGUGAACAAGUGAGACGGGAGGGAGAGAACCAUUGAGAUGCUAGAGCAAGGAAGAGGACGACGCGAGAGUUAAGGGUAGAAUCGGCAUUUGCAAACUUUCAUUAAACAUUUCUGUUCACCUGUGUUUUUAAGAUAAAAAGCUGGUUUUUGAAAGCAGCAAAUAGUUGCUUCCACUUUUCAGCUGUUUUUUGUAGCAAUUUUGAAAAUAAGUGCUUUGUUACUAAGUUACCAAACACAAUAUUGAGCUCAACUUUUUUUCAUCCCUACUUUUAAAAAAAUUUAAGCAGUACCAAACUCGUACUUAGACCCAUAACACCCAUAAGUUGAUACACUAGCUUCAGACUCGUAACUUGAUCGACCACCUUUGGAAUCGUCAUCUUGUCUAGUUUCUUCUUCUACUUUUGGUUCUCUCGACAUGAAGACACGAUCAAAUUUGAAUUUCUCAGCAUCUUCGGCAUACAACAGGCAUAUACCACAACUUUCCGCCUUCAUAUCGACAACGCGUCGGUUGUCUUCAUCCGACGUGUUGUCUUCAUCCGACACAACCUCCAGGCAGAAGUCAACAGAGGCCCCAUUGGCAAGUCUGUAAACAUUAGGGGAGCAUUCUUCUUCUACCUCUUCAAUUCUAAAGGCCUCAUUCCACACAUACACGUGAUGUUGGUCGUAAUAGUAGUUCAUAGCUGCCUCUCGCAUACAACAUUAAUUUGAUGCCAAGGAGUGUGCUUUGAUGGAGCACUAGUUUGCCUCUCGCAUAAUUCUAAUCUGUGCUUCUUCCAUUAUGUUGCUUCUUGCAUUAUUAUCCAAUUUUGGGCAAUUAAUAAAACGUUUGCAAAAACGAUCAUGUUGAACCCAACCUUGUGUGAGUGUUGUCCUUGUACUUGACACUGUCUUCAGCGACGUGCAGCCUUCAGCUUCAACAUUACAUAGCACUGGGAGCUCUGGUAAAGAUUGAAGCUGCUUGCAGCCGACUAAGCCGAGUUUAGACUACCGAGAAGCUUGUUUGAUGCUUGCAGGUAUGCUCCUAACCUUGGUUCCACUCAGAUAUAAUUCUUGCAAUGAGGUUGAGCAAACGAGACCAUCAGGGACAUCCUUAAGGUGCUUGCAGCCACUAAGGUCUAAAGUUUGAAGACUAAUUAGGUUUUCAAUAGACGAAGGAAGCAUUUCGAUAGUUGUCCUAUUCAAACUAAGAGACACCAAAAGUUCCAUUGGCUUCAAGAUUUCAGGGAAUUUGGAAAAUCUAGAGCAAUCUUUGAGAUCAAGUCUCUCAAUAUAUUUCAACUUGCAGAUGUUACCUGGGAUACUUGAAAGCCUUUUGCAACCUUGUGGUUUAUUAUGUUUGAGCGCAGGGGGAAACUCGAUUAAUGAGGGUAGCUCUUUAACCGUUGUUCCACUUAAAUAUAAGAACUUCAAAUGUUCCAUUAGCUCUAAGAUCUCUUAGAAGUUUUCAAGUUCAGGGCACCCAGAGAGAUCGAGUUUUUUGAGAUAUUUCAACUUACAAAUGCUCUUUGGGAUACUUGAAAGCCGUUUGCAACCUUCUAGUUCAAGUCUUUUGAGAGAAGGGAGAAACUCGAUUGAUGAGUGUAGCUCUUUUACCACUGUUCCACUUAAAUUUAAGCACUUUAAAUGUUCCAUUGGCUCCAAGAUCUCUGGGAAGUUUUCAAGUUUGGAGUAGCUAGAUAGAUUGAGUUCCUCCAAAUAUUUCAACUUACAAAUGUAGGUUGGUAGACUCACAAGUCUCUUGCAAUCAACCAAUGAUAAUGUAGUUAUAUCCUUGGGAAGCUCAGAAAACUCGCCACGAGAUGUGCAGCCAUCUAGAUUAAAACAAUCAGAGACUUUCAGUUUACACAUGUUGCUUGGAAGUUUAUCAAGGUCUUUGCAAUAACGUAUAUUCAAGUAAGAAAUAUUUUCGUUAGGCCAAACUGAUUCAGGCAACUCCUUUAUACCAGUGUCUUGUAAAUCUAAGUAUUUAAUACUUCCUGGCAUUUCUGGAAGAUACUUGAGACUCCAGCAAGCUGCAAGACCAAGACGAGUAAGCUUGUGGAGAUGUUGAAAAUACCAUGGAAUUUCAACCAAACAUGGACAGCCACAGAGAUUUAUGUGCACAAUUUUUAGACUCCCAGAGAGAUUUGGAACUUCAGUUAGAUAAUGAGAGUGCGACAGAUCGAUAACUUGUAAGUUGACAAGCAUCUGCAACAAAUGAAAUAGAAAUAUAAAGAAUUAAUAUAAUUUCUACACUUGAUUUUAUACAAGAAUUAAAAUAGACAUAUAAUAUAAUAUACCUAGUUUUCUUUCCAAAGAUUCUUAACUUUGAUAUUGGGCAUGUGAAGCUCAACUAGAUUUUCCGAAGAAAAAGUUGACGGCAAAGAUUCCAGCGAAUAAUAAACCCAGUAAAGAUAACGAAAAGAAUCGGGAAGGUCUAGAGGAGCGGUCAAUUGACCACACGAGCUUAGAAUUAUUAGGUUAGACAUCUUUUUGAAGUCUGCAUGUUUCAAUGGUCGCUCUUCAAGAUUAUACCAAUCAACCUCUAUGGCUUUAACAUUUGGAGUUUCCUAACAAUUAGAAGAAAGUUUAAAUGUGAAUACAUAUGUUUUCAAUAUGUUCAAAUGCAACACACAUUUGGAACAAAGAGUAUUUGUCAUGGUAAUGAUGCACAUGUGUCUUAGUCUAGUCAAAUAUCCAACGUAAUUGUAUCCUCCUCUACUUGUCUAAAUAAACAAACAUUUGUUCAUAUUCCAAACACUCCUAACACAAUAAAUAUUCAAUCAAAUUCAUUUUUUAAAAUCUCACUUCUUUAUUAUAAAUUAGUUUUACUUUGUUCUGUUAUCAUAUGAAGUUUGUAAUUUUUUUUUUCUAAAAAAGAAAAGAAAAAAAUUGAAUGAAUUUGUGGUGCCAAUAAGAGCUUCAUCAAUGGAGGGCAACCACAAUUCUCAAAAGCUUCACACAUUCCUUAUCAAGACACUAUGAAGCAAAACCAAUUUAUCGUGCCAACAAGAGCUUCAUCAAAGGAGUUUAACCAUAAUUCUCAAAAGCUUCACACACUCUUCAUUAAGACAGUGUGAAGCAAAACCAAUUUAUGGUGCCAACAAAAGCUUUAACACCAAAGCUUCACCUAUAAAGCUUCAACAUAAAAGCUUCACCUACAAAGCUUCAACUCCAAAGCUUCAACUCCAAAGCUUCACUUACAAAAGCUUCAACUCCAAAGCUUCACUUACAAAAGCUUCAACUCCAAAGCUUCACCCACAAAGCUUCAACUUCAAAGCUUCACCCACAAAGCUUCAACUCCAAAGCUUCAACUCCAAAGCUUCACCUACAAAAGCUUCAACUCCAAAUUUUCACCUACAAAAGCUUCAACUCCAAAGCUUCAUCUACAAAGCUUCAACAUAAAAGCUUCACCUAUAAAGUUUCAACACAAAAGCUUCACCUACAAAGAUUCAACUCCAAAGCUUCACCCAUAAAGCUUCAACUCCAAAGCUUCACCCACAAAGCUUCAACUCCAAAGCUUCACCUACAAAGCUUCACCUACAAAGCUUCAACUCCAAAGCUUCACCCACAAAGCUUCAACUCUAAAGCUUCACCUACAUAAGCUUCAACUCCAAAGCUUCACCUAAAAGCUUCAACACAAAAGUUUCACCUACAAAGCUUCAACUACAAAUGCCAAAAGCUUCACACACCUUUGAUCAAGAUAGUGUGAAGCAAAAUCAUUUCAUGAUACCCAACAAAGCUUCACCUACAAAGCUUCACCUAUAAAGCUUAAAUAUAUAUAUAUAUAUAUAUUUUCUUUCGGAAAUUCAAAAAUUUGAAAAUUAGGAAAUUCGAAAAAAAAAAUUGAAAAUUAAAAAAAAAAAAAAAAAAAAAAAGCCUAGGCCUCAUCUUCUUUAGGCCUAACAACUUUCAUAACAAAUAUAUAUGAAGGAUGAGCUUUGGGCUACCACUUAGAAAGGAAAACGGUGAAGUUUUGUUACUUUGGAAAUUUGGCUACUAGCAAGACACCUCAUCGUCAACUCCCUCGACCGGAGACUUGGGGGACUCCUACCAUAUGCUACUACACCUCGGUACUUGGAAGGUUCAAGUCUCCAACCGAGAAAUUUUUCUCACUCGGGAAAUUAAGGGAGCACUACCUCAACCUACAUGCUUCACUCACAAAGCUUCAACAUACAAGCUUCAACAAAAGAAAAAAUUCAAAGAACUUAGUGAAGAAGGCCUUGGUGUAUUUAACACAAUACGUUGAAAUGAAGCAAAGUUUAUUUAUUGAUAUCUCCGAUAAGUUACAAAUAUAUAUAUAUACAUGAAUCAAAAUAAACAAAUAAGAUGGAGUCUUCACAAAAGUUGCUCAGGAAAAGUCUCAGCAGUAGGCAGAGCCCCAGAAAGAGGAGGCACUGAAGGGUGAUCAUUUGGAGUCUCAGUACUGGGCAGAACCCCAGAAGGAGGAGGCACCGAAGGUUGAUCAUUUAGAGUUUCAUUACGCGGUACAACCCCAGAAGACGAAGGCAAUAAUGUCUUUGGAACAAACUCACAAACCUCUGAUGAUUAAGUAAAAUCUAACAAUCAGAUUCCUACAGUUGGUCGAGCUUCCUCUUCAUGUUUGUAGCAUAGUCAUGUGCGAGCCUGUGCAACUGUUUAUUCUCAUGCUUGAGCCUUCUGAUCUCCUGUUUGAGACUUAUCACUUCAGCCGCCAAUGAUUCAACUUGGCGGGUUUAGCAAAUAUGCGUUGUGCCAUAUUAGACACAGAACCUGCACACUGAACAUUGAGAGCCAGAUAAUCCUUAACAGCCAACUCAUCAGACUGUUUGGAAAGUAGUCUGUUAUCUUUGGGAGUGAGAAGGUUCCUAGCCACCACCGCAGCGGUCAUAUCAUUCUUCAUCAUAGAGUCCCCAAAGGUAAGAGGACCGAUAAGGGAUAAGAAAGAUGGACGUCAUAUGUUAUCUUGAGGAGGCAUGAUUGUCUCUUCACCAAAGUUCAAAUCAAAACGAUGGUCGGAUGGGCCAGACAUUCUCAGAAAUGAUGAAUGAGAAAUGAGGUCCAAUAAAUCUCUGAAGUACAAAUAUAAGGGGAAAAUUCCUACAAGCAAUAAUUCUCUGAACGUACUUCUUGCACACAAUUGGUGCCCUAUAAAAGAAAGGGCAACAUGGCCGUUGGUUCAAAAAUCGAAGAGGUACCACUCUCCUGAUUUCGAGAAACAAAUUUUCCUAAGUAAAAUCUGUCGACAAUCUCCACACGCAACAUUAGCUCAUCGGGUACCACAUAUAACUUUGCCAAAGAUCUCUAACAAAGUUUAGACACAUAAAUUUUGAAGGUCCAGUUACCCUACCAUUACCCACAAAGGUAAAGGAACAACACCACUGCUUGAUAACUGGAAAAUCCCUAUGUGUGUCAGCCUCUGUGCUCCGUGGCAAGGCAGACUGGCAAAAAUGUCUAACCUUUACUCACAUUGAGAAAACACUCACAACAUGAUUACUUGCUCAAAAAUCGAAGAAGCACCGCUCUCCAAAUCUCGAGAGCCAGACUCCCACUAGGAUUGCUUUCUCAAAAAUUGAAAAGGCACCGCUCUUCGAAUCUCGAGAGCCAGACUCUCACCAGGAUUGCUUUCUCAAAAAUCGAAGAGGCACCGCUAUCCGAAUCUCGAAAGUCAGACUCACAACAGGAUUGCUUUCUCGAAAAUCGAAGAGGCACCACUAUCUAAAUCUCAAGAGCCAGAUCCCCAAUAGGAUUGCUUGUUCAAAAAUUGAAGAGGCAACACUCUCCAAAUCUUGAAAGCCAGAUCCCUAAAAUGAUUGCUUGUUCGAAAAUCGAAAAGGCACCGCUCUACGAACUUCGAGAGCCAGAUUUCCUUGGAUAAAAUUUAUUUGCAAUCUUCACACGUAACAUCAACUUUCCAGAUACCGCAGACCACUUUUUCAAAGUGCUCUGACAAAGUUAAAACACGUGAAUCUUGCAGCUCCCACUACAUUGCUAUGACCGAAAAGGGUAAAGGAACAGCGUUACUACUCGUUGUUGGGACAAUUCCUAUAUAUUUCGACCUCCAUCAUCCACAGCCAGGCAGACCUGCAAAUAAAUAAAAAAUGCUAAACUUUUCUUCACAUCCGAGAGGGCACUCUAAGUAGAGUCUCUCGAAAAUACUCAGCUUCUUUUUCCCCCUAUAAUACCUCUGCAAACAAGCUACACCAGAACAAAAAUAUCUCAUAUCAUUAAGGUUAAAAGCAAGAGUAUCUCAUAUCAUACUUUUUCCCUGUCUUUUCUUUUACCCUUGUUCUUACCUGCAAGACAAGGAGAAAUAGAACAAUCAGUCAGCACUUGGAAUUAAGCUUCCAGUCAGGAACUGACUACCUGGAACCCCUUGCCUGAUUACUUACCUAGCAUUACUCUCGAGUACUCAUCUUCAACAUCUUGUGCUUCUAGAAAAGAUACCACAUCUGCCUAAGGAAUAGAUAGAGCAAGUGAGAAGAAUACAAGAAAGCAUGUGGAGACAAGCGCAACAGAACACAUAUCGAUUCAUCUAUUACUUUGUCAACAACAAAAGUAUCCCAUAUCAUCAAGGUCGAGCGCACCCUUGAUUUGAUGGACUUGUUUUUACUCUCAAAUUCUUGAGUCGGCCUUAUACUCUAGAGGAAACCAGAAAACCCUCCAGCACAGUUCAAGAAUAAGUCAGUGGAAAGUUACUUCUUCAAAAGCAAAAGUAUCUCAUAUCAUCUCUUCUCCUUUUUCUUCUCUUUAUCCUUCUUGCUACCUACAAGAUAAGGAGAAUGAGAACAAUCAGCCGGAACUUGAAAUCAAACUUCUGAUAUGGGACUGAUUACUUGGAACUCUAAUUGCUUACCUUGUCUAUCACCUCUUUCGGCAUAUCUCCUAGUUUGGCGACUUGGGGGACUCCUACUACAUAGUUUGUAUCGCGCUUGACCAAGCCUUAAACUACAAGUAAGCUUCAAGUGAAAUUGAUACAUUACCUUGUGCAUCUUCACCGGUUAAUGAUACCACACCUGGAUGGAUGAAAAGUACUUCCAGAUAAGAUACCAUAUCUACCUACGAGACAGAUAAGGCAAGUGAAAACGAUACCACAUUUCGGUACUUAGAAGUUUCAUGAUUACUCAGCAGCUUGGAUCUUACAAGUCCCCAACCGAGGAGCUUCCCUCACUCGGGAACUUAGGGGAGUAUUGUUUGUACCAUACUUGACCAAUCACGAAACUACCGAUCACCAAUCAACGUUAUACCGAGAGUUUCCUUCCAACCAGGAGGCCAAUCACAGCGUGACACGCGUCGACAUUAGAAGCUAAUUAUAGCGCGACACGUGUUAACAUCAGAAGCUAAUCACAACACAACACGUGUUAAUGUCAGAACAAAGCUAGAAACUCUCUUCUAUAAAAGGAGAUCAUUCUCCCAUAAUAUUUCCUAAUGUCAUUUGUACUAAAUCAUUCACUAGUACUCACUAAAGGAGAGCUUGAACCUAUGUACUUGUGUAAACCCUUCACAAUUAACGAGAACUCCUCUACUCCGUGGACGUAGCCAAUCUGGGUGAACCACGUACAUCUUGUGUUUGCUUCCCUGUCUCUAUCCAUUUACAUAUUUAUCCACACUAGUGACCGAAUCAAUCUAGCAAAGGUCACAAACUUGACACUUUCUAUUGUACCAAAGUUCUCACUGAUUUUGUGCAUCAACAACCCGGAUUUUUUUGAAUGAUCAAACCCAGAUAGAUUGGCUGCAGUCGUCAAAGCAUCCCUUCACUUGUGCACCUUGUCGAUACUGUUAGUGAAUCGUUUUUCAAGUUGAGCAAAUACAUAUGCAUAACUCCCGUGUUGUUUUCGUACAUUAGAUGGAUCGAUGUCGUAGAAUACGGGUAUAACCAUCCGGCCUUCUCUGUUGUUGCAUUUUAGUAUAUGCACAAGCUCAUCCAAACACCAUGUGGAAGAAGCAUAGUUUUGCUAGAAAAUGAUCGCCGAGAUGGUGGAUUUCUCGAUUGCUUCUAGAAGGGCAGGUUCGAUUUCUUCUCCUCUCUGAAGUCUAUUAUCGAUGUAGGUUUCAACUUUCUUAUGAAGUAAGGCAGCAUGAAGAUGGCUGGUAAUACCAAGGAUGGCUGGUAAUACCAAGGCAGGUGUCCCCACCUCUGAAAUUGAUAAACACAUCGUACUUUUCUCGAUGUGGGGGGUUAUCAGCAUCAUCAUCAUCAUCCUUAACAGCAGCAGAAUCAGCCGCAGGAGACGAAGAAGAAAAUGAUUUGCAACACAUGUACAACAGAGUCCCGAUGGCGAUGAUGAUGAUGUUGAAAACUUGAAUCAAGGCAAUCAACUUCAUCUCUCUAUUAGGUAUGUGCACAAGGUUACAAACGUUUCAGAAGGACAAAAAUUGAAAAUAUGGAAAGACAAGGAUUAGUCACUUUCGCAUACUUAAAAAAUAAUGAACACAACUUGGCUGCUGUAAAUUCAGCAGCCGGUCCUGCUUACAACCAAUUUAGGAUGGACACGUGUCCAAGUUUUGAUUUUUUAAUCAAAAAAUUAGACACGUGUCCAUUCCGGAUUGUUUGUAAGUAGGACCAGCUGCUGAAUUCUUCAGCACCCAAGUUCUUUCCAAAAAUAAUUUGAAUAAUACUUAAAUAUUCCCUAGUAAGUAUUUUAUGUACUCACCCAGUUGACAAGUGUUUUUUGUUUUAAAAGCCUAAGAAAAAUUAAUGACAUGUACAUUAUAUUAUACAAGAAUAAAACAUGUGUUAAUUUAUCAUUGGACAAAAUUAAGAGGUGAGUACUCCUUAGUGGAAAAGGAUCCUCUUAAGAUUUUCUUUGUGGAGAUCCGAAGAUCCAUCAAUCACGAUUGUUCAUCGUACAUCGUGCAAUUAGUUUUUGUUCGAUAUUAUCUAUAUUUAAUUUUAAGUUUAAAAUUUAAAAUGAUUUUUAAACGCACGAUGUACGAUGAUGAUCGUGAUUGAUGAAUUCCCCGAUCCCCACAAAGAAGAUCCGAAUAUAAUCUUUUUUCUCAUUAGUGAGUACACAAAUAUUGUCCUCAUAAUUAUAUUUUGCUUUCACAGUUUCGUAAAUAUGUUACAAAAUGCAUGUAUAAUGUCUACAUGUCCAUUGGGAAGAAGCAGCAGUGGCAAUAUCCAUUACCUUGAAUUAGCUUUUGGCUACAUGCACAACGUUUCAAAGGCUCGAAAACAAACGAGUGAGAGAUGAACGAAAGUGGAAAAUGGGGCACAUGAUACGCACAUAUUUUAUUUAUAAAAAAAAAACAAAAAAAAAGCUAUAAUUUAAAGAAAGAUAUUCAUAUAUUUGCAAUCUUAAUAUGAACAACGUCAUCUCUGCUUGUAAGGGAAGACAAUUGAUCAAGGGAGGCAGAUUGUCUGCCACCUCUUUGGGAAUAUUAAUGAGUGAGAGAUGAAUACUUAUAAAAGUAUACAAAGGGGCACAUGGGAUGGGGCCCUCCCUUUACGCUCUUUGCGUGCACAGUUGUAAAGUUUUCCAGUUAGAGUUGGUUAAGUAUUAUUGUGUUUUGAAAACAAAAAUUGUUUCUGUUAUGUUGUGAUAAUAAAUUCAUUUUUGCUGUUUCACGUUUUUAGUUUAUUUUUAUCUAAAAUUGUAAAAAUAAGCUACUUUUGAAUGUUUACCAAACAUUUUUUUUAGCUCAAUUUUUUUAUACCCAUUUUUCUAUAUAAAAUACAUCAGUAUCAAACCACUAUUUAAUACUUUAUAUUUUUGUUCUUAUUGUUGUUAAAAGUUGAGUGUGUAUAAUUUUGUCCUUUCUAUUAAAUAAGUUGUUGAGUGCUUUUGAUUAAGAAAAAAAUUGUUGAAGCCUUUUUAAUUAAAUUGCCCUUAUUUUUUUAGUAAAUUACAAAUUAGGCCCACCAAGAAGGUUGGGAUCACUUUCAUGUUGAAUCAUUUGUUUGAUAUAUUUGGACGAAUAAAUGAUUUCUGAUUCGAGACUUAUGUAAGUCUUUAUUAACUGUUUACGUAGUAGGUGCAAAUUCCACUUUUUAAAAGUGUAAUCAAAUCACACCUAAAUUUCAAUCAGACAUAAAAAAUUUACAACUUAAAUUGUUAAAAGUUAAUGUUUCGUUUGCAUUUACCAACUCUACUUUGGUUUUCAGGUAACCUUCAACAAAAAUUUGAUGACAAUUUUUCUAGCAAAAGAACUUUUACUACAUUUGUUUCAACAAAACAUAAUUGACAGCAACUACGAAACUAACAGAUGUUAAAACCUAACCUUAAUCUACAAGCAUUCCUCGUUUGUCUUCAUGAUUGACUGUCCCUCGUUAUCUCAUUUAUUUUUCUUUAAUCUCUCUUCUUUUCAAUUUUUAUUCGUAUGUUAUGUAUCGUUUAGUGCACCGAAAAAAAUGGUUAAAUCUUGCAUAUAAUGAAUCUUUCAACGGCUAUAUCUUGUAUAAAACUUGUAUUUUAAUGGUAUACAUCAUUUUAAGCGAACUUUUUUUUUUCGCAUAUUUAACCAAACUUUUUUUAUUUUUCUUGCUGUUUUAAUAUUGGAUAAUAAAAUAUUUAGUAUUGACACUCCACAAGUGUAGUGUCAACUUCCCAACAGGAUCCUCUUCGGAUCCUUUUGGUGAAGAUCUUGGGAAUCCGUGAAUCGUGUUCGUUCAUCGUACAUCGUGUGGUCAGUUUUUGCUAGGUACGGUUUGUGUUUAAUUUUAAAUAAAAAUAUUUAAAAUGAUUUCUGACCGCACGAUGUACGAUGAACGGACACGAUUCAAGGAUCCCCAAGAUCCUCACAAAGAGGAUCAGGCGAGGUUCCGGAUUCAUCAACUUCAACUCUCAUAUUUUUCACUCCUCCACUUCAACUCCAAUGGUCCAAUGACCCUUGGAAUGCCAAGAAAGAUGUAUAUAUGUACGCAAUUUAGUACUACGGUCUAUUGUUAUUUUUCUUAACUUGUAGAUAAAAAAAUUUAGGUUCAAUUCUUACCAAAAACAAAUUUGAACCACAUUAUUAUGGCUGACUUAUGAUGAGAUUUAACCGACUAAUAUCAUUUGUUAAAAAUAAAAUAAAACGAUGUAAGUACAAAAUCUUUUUGUGCUCAUCAAACGUAUGAUGAAAUGCUUUUUAAAAAUGACACGACACUCAUGUUCACAACAUUUGACAUGAAAUCUUAACAUCAUUCGGCAAAUUGCUUUGACAUUUGUCGAAUGAAUGCAUACACCACUACGCGCUCAACAAAAUUCCUUAUUGAAUUUUUUUUUAAUUUUUUUUUGGCGUGCACGGUUUCCGUCUAAAACGAGUAAUAUUGACACAAGCAGCAGAUUAUAGAUAUAAUACAGUUUUCUUAUUCAAACACCAAAGCAGGAACUUGCAAGGGAAAACCAAGCACACUCAAUUUACAUUUACAGAUAACAGCAGAGAUAGCAACUCCAACUCCAAAUCCAUCGGCAUUCUCACAUCUUACAAACAACUACUACUAUAUUUAUAUAGUCGCGCACUCACUAGAUUGCAACCCAGAACAAACAACACCCAAACCCUAGCAUACAAAAUGCUUACUUAUAUCAAUACAUUAUUAGCACGUGGAAACCCCUAAUUAAACAGCUUCUUCUUCCCUCCGGCCAUGCAUGGCUGAUCCGUCCACAGAAAACACGUUCAUUUCAUCUCAUGGAUGAUUUCGAUUGGACAAGAACGCAGUUUUCAUAUGUCACACGUCGCAAGGAGAACGGGCGCUCCUUCCUCCAACGACCUCGCUCGCCUUCUCGUAUGCAUCCGACGCUGACCUCCUUCGAAACCGCCCGAAUGACUCCCUGCCACCUAAAACCACCAUCAAUACAACACUAUCAACAUUUGCUUAGGAACACUGCUCGACUCGUUACAAUGCACUUAAGAAUCACUAACAAUCAGACACGAAUCACUAUAACCUGACACGUACGCAAAAACAUACUCAUUACAAAAAAUAGUUCUUUAUGCACCUUGUUAACUACAUUAUUCAUAAUUGUUACAAAAUGGCAACAAAAAAUCUGGCUUAAGAAUGUAAAGGUUUGUUUGGUCCUCUACUUGAAUCCAACUUUUUUAACUAAAAAAUAAUUUUCAAGUUUUAAGCCAUAAAAACUUGUUUAGUAUGACUAUUUUCAAAAACUGAACUCAAGAUUAACUAAAUAAUAUAGUCUAUUCUUUAAAAACAUAAAAAGUAGGUUUUUAGAGUUUAUAAACAAUUCAUUCGUUUCUUUUCUUUCACUCCAAAUCUAUCUCUCAUUUUUUCUUUCUCUCCUUUUUUUCUUUUACCUUUUUCAUCUCUCAUUCAAUCCGUUCUCUUCAUUCUCUUCUUUUUUUAUCUCACUCCUCUUUCUUUCUAUCUCAUCCGAUUCUCUCUCUUCUUUUUCUUUUCUUCAAUCAUCUUACUUUAUUUCCCCCUCUCCUCUCUUUCUCCCUCUCCUGCUACCCUCUUUUUUUUUAUCUCUUUAUUUAGUUUAAACCGUAAGAUUUAAAAAUUUUAAAUCACAAACCAAUCAAGUUUUUCAGUCUUAAAUAAAAUUGUUAUUAAUUAAUAUUCUUAAAAAAUAUUUAGAGAAAUGAUAAAAAAUUCAGAUACGAUAUCAAAUAAGCCUCAAGAUUUGAUGGUAUUGUCAACAAGGGCAUAAACGUCAGUUAACAAAGAAAUCUAUACCAAAUUCUAGAACAUAGAUAUUAAGUUAAAUUACUACCACACCCUUGUCUCCCAAACACAUCAGUGAUGAGUGGAGGCUCCACCAUUUGUGGAAACUUGGUCCCACAUGCAAUGAGGCAGAGGCAUAUCUGCCAUUUCAAAUGCUUACCAGAAAACGGGGACACCGGCGGCGUAGACCCAGCUGGCGAAAUUGGAGAAGAAACCCCAGCUGGCGAAACCGGAGCUGAUCCGCCGUUAGCGCUCCCAUAACCUGGGGGCUUCACUAUCAUAAUACUCCGCGUAAUUUUCGCCUCUUCCGGCGAAUUCCCACCCAACGAUCUUACGCUUCCGCCAUCUGACGAUCCUAAUUCAACCAAACCAAACCAAAACAAACAAUUAAACUUCCAACAAGAUUGCCACCCCUAAUUAAUAUCAGCCGCAUGAUCUCAACACUUUCAUGUUUCGAUUUCAUUUUCAACCGUUCGAUCUAUUUGCAAAUGAUCUGAGAUUUUCGAUUAAAAGCUUUUAUUCCUGGAGAAUUUAACGUAAAAUUGGUAAAGGUUUAGCAGUUAGUUGCGUUCAACACGUGUGCCAACACGCGCCGCCAGAAAAAUACUAAAACGACGACGCACCAGUGGCGGAGCUGGACCGGAAACUGAAGGUUUUGUGCUUGCGAAGUUUCCCAAGACCGCUGUCGGGCUGAGGCCCGGCGAGGGUGUCGUCCCAAAGCUGAUCAAGUAGGCCCAUGUUCCUGAAGGAUCGGCGUAGGAUAGCAGAUCAGGCGUACUUUAACGACUUUGGUAGUGGGAUUGGACUGGAGACUAGAGAGGGAGUGAAACGAGGAGAUCGGGUAGUUAUUUAUCGGCGGCGUGGGCGUUAAAGGUCGAACAAGUAUUCAGAUCCAGAGAGAUCUGGAACGUUCGUCGGAUCGAGAGGGAGUGCUGAUGUUGCGUGUAGAUCGAGAAGCGCAUAGUUGGGGAUAAGAUCGAUGUGACAGACGCGGACCCAAGGCUAAUGGGUGAUUUUAAGGGCGGCUAUCUCACGUGAGUUAGUGAGAGUGAAGAUACUAGAAUGCCCUCAACUUUAUCCGGAUUUAUAUUAAGUUUGACUCGGUAUGAAUUCAGAAUCAUCUUACAGUUUAACGACAAUUCUUAUGCUUACUUCAUCGGAGUAUGUUUUGUAUGCAUGGCUCAUCAAAAUAGGUUUGACUCCACGUUUGCGUUCUCCAUUAGAGAUGAUCUAAUAAGAGCAUUCACUCUAACAUUUGCUCAUGUUUCGUUAGGGUACAUCCUACUUGGACGGUAAGAUGAUGAUAUCAAAUAAACCAAUCACGAGAUGUCACGUAGGUUAAAACAUAUGUUGACGUGUGAUAGGUUUGAAAUACUGUUAUCGAGCCAGGUUGCGCACUCCAUC
rnacentral:lncRNA from 1 species